CAUUCAAAUUUCUGCCCUAUCAACUUUUGACGGUAGGAUAGAGGCCUACCGUGGUUUUAACGGGUAACGGGGAAUUAGGGUUCGAUUCCGGAGAGGGAGCCUGAGAAACGGCUACCACAUCCAAGGAAGGCAGCAGGCGCGCAAAUUACCCAAUCCCGACACGGGGAGGUAGUGACAAUAAAUAACAAUACGGGGCCUUAAGGGUCUUGUAAUUGGAAUGAGAACAAUUUAAAUACCUUAACGAGGAACAAUUGGAGGGCAAGUCUGGUGCCAGCAGCCGCGGUAAUUCCAGCUCCAAUAGCGUAUAUUAAAGUUGUUGCAGUUAAAAAGCUCGUAGUUGAAUUUCAGAGGGAGCCGCCCGGUCCGCCGCAAGGUGUGUACUGGGUUGUGCUCGUCUUUUCCUUCUGGUGGCCUGUCAUGGCCUUUACUGGAUGUGUAGGGGACCCGGAACUUUUACCUUGAAAAAAUUAGAGUGUUCAAAGCAGGCCUAUGCUCGAAUAUAUUAGCAUGGAAUAAUAGAAUAGGACGUGUGGUUCUAUUUUGUUGGUUUCUAGGAUCACCGUAAUGAUUAAUAGGGAUAGUUGGGGGCAUUAGUAUUCAAUUGUCAGAGGUGAAAUUCUUGGAUUUAUUGAAGACUAACUACUGCGAAAGCAUUUGCCAAGGAUGUUUUCAUUAAUCAAGAACGAAAGUUAGGGGAUCGAAGACGAUCAGAUACCGUCGUAGUCUUAACCAUAAACUAUGCCGA
rnacentral:rRNA from 1 species